rnacentral:tRNA from 1 species
AAAUUAUUAGUUAAUCUAUAACAUAGAAAUGUCAUUUCUAAAUUAUUUUCAUAAAUAUAAUUUU